UCGCUCAUGAGCGCAUUCCCGUUCAUACGCGUUUCAUUUCUGUGGCUCGCUCUGGGGUGCGCAGGUCCCCGUGACAGUGUUACACGAUGCUUCGAGCUGGUCUAAAUUAAGACGGGCCGGAUUUGGCCGAAGGGCCGGACUUUGGGCAUGUCUGGUCUAAUGCAGCAACAACAGGUUAAGAUUCAGACAUAGUUAAGAGGUGACUGAUGUCGCUCUUUCCAACUCGCGGCCACAGUAGCCGCAAUGGCCAGCCACACACAGCUGCUGGUCCAGACUACACCUUCGUGCCGCGAUGCCAAGCGCAGCAGAUAUGCAGCUCAUGGACAUCGGGCACAAGAAGAGUGAAGGAACUGAACCAUCAACGAAACAAAGUCUUUCGGCGAAUCCUUCUCUAUACUGACAAAUGAGUUCUGAAAGACUCGUCCUUGAACAAGCAGGACUUUGCCCACAGAUGUGGAAACAAAAUUUGACCAGGAAAUUCUUUGAGGUUCUGAUGCUUGGGGGCGGUGCAAUGAGUUGUGUGGAAUUAUGCAUCCAACAACGGAACGUUUUGAUCCCUCCACUUCGGCAUCCUUGAGUUGUUUGGACGACAAAAGUCUCUCCGAGUAAUAAAGAUGGCGGAUUUGCGAAACCGUGUGGCCACACGCAUUACCUUGUUUGGUGGUCCUUCCCCAAAUGAUGUGACGUAAUAGAUAUAAAUACAUAAUAGAAAAUGGAGAAAAAAAUAGUAAAAACAAGUAAAAAAUAGCCCCCAAACAGAUCAUGUUAUCUCUAUGAGUAUCUCUGCAACACCUGGAGGGAUACAGUUUUCUACAAUCUUGGAGGGUCCAAGUGCACAAUAAAAUGAAUAUAAAAGCAAAAAAACUGUGGAUUUUCUAGGAUAUGUCUGGAAACAAAGUAUGCUACAUGUUUUAUUUUUGUAGUGUUAUCAACAUAGUUGGUAACCAGUGACUUGCAGUGAGGUGCAUGACUGGGGAGGCACUGGCGUCACAUACCAAUACUCAAUAAAGCACAUGAAAUCAAAAACUUUA